GCAUACAAGAUGUGUAAUUCAUCAACCCUACCCUCAACACAAUUCUCAACAAUUGGAAAUUCCAUAAUAAAACCAGGAAUUCCAAAAUUGUCUGCACAUGCUGUUAGUGAUGAUGUAAGCAUUUGUCCUGUAAUAUUACAUCCUACAAAGCAGUUGAGUCCUCAAGUUCAUAUGAAGAGUGAUUCACUUAUUAAAACAAUAGGAUUUUCACCUUCACGAUCACUGAUUACAUCCCAACCGCAAAGCCGUAUUGUUACAUCAUCAUUACAACGGUCAAUUAUGGAAUCUCAAAAUGUUUCACCUCUUAUAAUAACACCCACACCUCAUGUUAUUCAUACGUCUAAUGAAGCUGUUCCUGCUAAAAUAGUUCCAAUACCAUCAUCAGCACCUACUUCACAUUUUUCUGUAAUAAAUAAACCAGUGUCUUAUGACAGUAUACCUGAGUAUACUGGUAUUCGUCAAAGUAUGAUAUCUGGUGCACCUCCAGUUUACACACAGAGUGAUUUUGCUCGUUUCCCCCCUAAAACUUAUCAUCAUAAAAGUGCAGUUGUUAAUCCAGCUGUCAUUCAUGGUCCUAUUACUGGAAAUAUAGAAGAUUCUUGUAUAAAUAUACCUAAUAGUCAACAUGUAUUUAAACCAAUUAUUUCACCAAGACCUAGUAUUUUAAGGAAACGAGAUGCAGACGGUGUACUUAGAGCCCAAAAAAAUUUAAUACCAAUCUUGACGAAACCAGACCUAGAAGAGUGUCAUGCGGAUGAUUUAUCGCAAAAUAGAAAUGGAUAUAGUGAAAGUGGUUUACAAAUAGAAUCAAUUAUGGUACCUCAGAUUCCAGAGGUUGUAUUACCUCAAAUUUCUGCUCUGUCUAGAAAAUCACACAUAAUGGUAGAAAUAAGUCCACGAAAAAAACCUCGUAAACAAUUACUACCUGUUAAUCAAGAUAGUCCAUUUAAAAUAGUUGGUGAUGAAAUGGAGUAUGUAGAUGAAAAAAUAAUAAAAAAUGAUAAAACCGAAGAAUAUCCAGAAGAAGAUGUUAAUAAUUGUAAUGAUGAUCUUCCUGAUGGUGAUGCUGAAGAUGAAGCAGAAGAUGAUUUAGAUGAUAAUGAUAUGGACGUUGAUGAUGAUUGUCCUGCAGAUGACGACUAUGAUGAAAAUGAUGAUGACGAUGACUUCGGAAAUGAUUUUGGGGAUGGUUUUGAUUUUGUUAAAUCGGAUAAAAAUUUCUAUGAGGAAGUUAAACCAUCCGUAAAUGUCAAUGAUGAGAAUUCAUCUCUCCCUAUAAAAAAUAAACGACCAACCUUAUUGGCAGGUUAUAAAAAUCCAUUAAAAGGACAACAUUCCCACCAUUUUCAAAGGUAUACAGAUUACAAAAUUAAAGAAACCAAAAAGCAACUUGCAGAAAUGCAGCAAGCCAAAAAAUGGAUGUCAGAUAGUAAAUCUGGAUGGAGAGUUAAAAAUUUGAUAGGGCAAUUUGACGAAAUGGGGAAAAACGAAGCAGAUAUUAUUGUAGAAAUGAGUGAAAUAUUAGAUAUAUUUGAAGAUCGUGUUGAAAAUCUUGCUAAACGAGACGAACUCAUUGAGCUUAUUAAAAAAAAUGUUCAAAGAAGUAAAGUUACGAAGGAUCAAAUUGAAGAAACUACUCAACAGCUGACUAAAAUAUUUGAGUAUAAAACAUUAAUUGAAGACGUUGUGGAUAAAUAUUGUCCCAAAGAACUUAAAAAGAAAAGUCCGAAAGUAUUUAGCAAAACUUAGACGGAAUUGUUAAAAAUGGAUACUCAAUCUGAAACGAUCCACGAGGAAACUUGUUGAUCGAUUAUAAUUCGAAAUUGUGUGAAACACUAUAUAACAGGUCGUACAUUUUAAUGUUUUCGGAUUAUGGUAUCCUGGUUGAUUCUAAAGAUGUUUAUAAAAACCAAUGGCAUCUGUUUAACGGAAUAUAUUACACGGAGAUAAACAUCUUGGUUAGGAUUUUUCACCAAAUCAAUAUCAUCACACCUUUGAAAGGACAUUUGUCGGCGUGCGAACACGAGCAGAUGUCAACUCCAUGGCUCCAUAAACAUAGUUAACACGACGAGUUUGAUCUGAAACCGACGCCCAAAAAUGUCCAAGUUAAGGAUGUCCGAUGUAUUAGGAGGAAUACGUGUAACGCUCGAAGGAAGUCUGCCCAAAGUCGACCAACGGACUGAACACGGACGAAAGUCGAAUCGUAGUCAAAGAGUCGAACACGGUGUUCCGGCCGAAGUCCGCCUGACCUAACCGGAUCGGGACUUUGGAAUAUUCGAUUAGCACGAAGUCCGAACUUAAGCAAUCGGUUAUCGUCUUCGUGCGAGACGUUUUUACGUGUUUCAUAACGGUAACAAACGAUUGGUGCGGGAGAAAAAAUUUCAAAAAAAAAAAAAUGCAGUU